ACGAAAGGGGCCAUGUGGGGAUACACGAUAUCAAACACCUCAGACACCUACCAGCCCCCGGGGCCCUCGCAUGGGCCAUGAGUCAUAAUCUCCUAUCCACAUCCCGGGUUACAACUGUCCACCCAAUUUUAUAUACUUUUCAAUCACUCACAAGCUCCAAACUCUGAGUUUUUUCAAGGUCAAGGGCCAUAUUUAUUGAAAUAUUUAUUCCUUAUCCCCUUAUUGCAUGUAAAACUCUGCUAUAGUUUUUAUUAGUUCCUAUCUUUCUGGUUAAAAUGUGUCAGUGAUGAGGUUUUUGAGUGCUGUGCCAACAAUUCCAUUUUUCCUUUGAGCCCAGGGUUUUUUAUUGCAUGAUAGUGCAUAUCACAUCAUAGCAAAAGUGGCUGCACAUAACCUCAUUUGAUUUAGCUUAAUCAUGGCAGGUGCGUAUUAUGUCAGUAUUUACUAUGUGAGUGUUGUUUUCACUGAUUUACAGAUGUGGAAACCAGGGCUCUGGUCACUCCUGGUCACCAAUCUACUAUGUGAUGGAGCUGAAAUUAAACCCCAUUCCGUCUGAUUCCCAGGUGGCUCUCCGUCUUGGUGCUUCCAGAACUGAAGACACCUACUUCCUUCUUACGCAGGAGAUUCAGUCAGGGCAAGCCUUUCACGGAGCAUUUGAAGAUUUCCAACUAAAAUUUUCAGAGUUUGGAUGCUAUCCAGGGGAAUUUAAAGCAUGACACAGUCCACUGCUUCUGUUUUAAAGUGUUUUGCAUCUUGGAGAAUGGAAUCCAGAUCUUCCACCUGGAAGAACUGAGACAAUCAUUAGUUCCAUCUCCCAGGGGAAGGAUUCAGGCACUGCUGGGCACUUGGAUUCAGAAAGAAGCCAGCAUCUUCCCUGCUUCGCUUUGCUUGGAGUCCAGUGGAGGAGACAGAGGGGGAGACAAGCCUCAGGAGACAGAAUUAAUCCUGGCUACCAAAAAAUUCAAUCAUCCACCUCUAGCACUGUGGACUGUGUAAGAAUUUCUGCACAACCAUAUCUCAGCCAGGAAGAUGCAGUCAUCAAUGAAAACCCUGCUAGUGCUCUAAUUCUAGCCUUUCUGGCCUUGUUUGUGGUCUUGGCUAAUGCUGAAUCAGUUAUACAAACUAUUACUGACCCCAAGGCUUGGAAUAUUAACAGUUAGAGACUGUCUUCUCCAGGGCAGGAUUUGUGCCAGACUGCAUGCCAGAUGGGCUGCUGUUCAUAAACUAUUCAAGCAAGAUCUCUCAUUUUGUAUAUUUUAUGAUCAAUAACAUUUUUAUUAUAUAUAUAAAUAUAUAGCAU
rnacentral:lncRNA from 12 species